GACGAACGCUGGCGGCGUGCCUAACACAUGCAAGUCGAACGGAGAUUUUAGCAAUAAAAUCUUAGUGGCGAACGGGUGAGUAACGCGUAGACAACCUGACUGCUAGAUGGGGACAACACUGCGAAAGUGGUGCUAAUACUGAAUGUUGUAAUUGGAAUGCAUGUUCUGAUUACUAAAGGUGGUCUCUAUUUAUAAGCUAUCGCUAGAAGAUGGUUCUGCGUCUGAUUAGCUAGUUGGUGAGGUAAUGGCUAACCAAGGCGACGAUCAGUAGCCGGUCUGAGAGGAUGAACGGCCACACUGGGACUAAGACACGGCCCAGACUCCUACGGGAGGCAGCAGUGGGGAAUCUUCCGCAAUGGACGAAAGUCUGACGGAGCAACGCCGCGUGAGUGAAGAAGGUUUUCGGAUCGUAAAACUCUGUUUUCAGGGACGAAUGUGCUGAUUGUAAAUAAUGGUUGGUAAUGACGGUACCUGACAAGAAAGCCACGGCUAACUACGUGCCAGCCGCCGCGGUAACAC
rnacentral:rRNA from 1 species